ACAUUUUUCCUAUCAGAGGAAUGUUUCUCAACUCUUUAAGUAGCAAGCACCUCCUAACUUCUGAAAAUGUUAAUAAGUACCCCAACACUCAGUUUUCCAGGGGAUUUUAUAUUUACAGACUAAUG